GUUUUAAUAAUUUAAUAUAAAAUAUUGAUUUUGUAAAUCAAAAAUAAGAUAUAUUCUUUUUAAACA
rnacentral:tRNA from 1 species